ACGUUCGAAUAUCGCUGCACCUCGCUCAUUUUCUCUACCUUUCCUUUACUUGCUUCCAGUGGUCUUGCUCCAGCGAGCUUAUGUGCCUCCCUCUCCCACUUCACAACGAACGCUUCGUCCACCAUUGUACACAUGCCUUUCGUUUCGUGGUUGACUUAAUUUAGUGUGCCCAAUUUUGUUCAAUUAUUUGCAUAGGAAGCGAUAACAGUUUAGUACAAAUGUAAAUAACUUGAUGGGUAAGGACCGUAGGAAAGUUACGCAACCCGUAGGAGCUCAAUUCAAAGAGGCACACGCAAAAAUCUGCGCGAGAAAAAGACCCGGAUGAACAAAAUGAUUGAUCUUUAAGCAUUACAUUAACAAGGCGUGCUAUUUUGCAUCUUGCCGAUCAUCAUUUUACCUCUAAUCCGUCAUGCUGUAGCGGACAAUCACUUAAGACAGAUUUUAGUGCACCAGUUUUGUAGAAGAAUGGGAAUGACUACAAACAUCGGUAUAUUCACAUGCCAUCAUGCAGCUGAAUGCAUAUCGACGGAAAAUUGAAUACAUCGAAUGUAAAAUUCAGUAAAAAAAAAGUAGUAUACGAGCCAAUAUGCUCCGUAGACUGUGCACUGCUGAGCACGUAGGAAAGGUGAGGGUGCCAAACAUUAUCCAUGGCGCUCUGUCUACGAUUUAUAACAGACGCAGCUCCACCUGAUCCAGCCCUCGAGCACGCUGUGCGAUGCUGCGCAUAGUACCGUACAGCAUGUCGUAUCAUUAAUCACCCUUUUGACAACGCAUGUGUCCGCUUUUUUGCCAUUUUAUUUUUUCCACCAACACAAUCGCACACCAUCGCGAGCUUUUUGGCAGCCAUCUUGAACCCUCAAAAAGACUUACAAAAACGCUCGCCAGCGAGGGAAAAUCGCACUGAUUUGGUGCGUUGGCGAACUUGUAAAAACCGGUUUUUGGUCUGCGGGUUCCGCGUUUAUACUUCCAGCGCCAACAGUUACUCCACAGCCAACGAUAUGCCCAAGCAAUGCCAUGUCAUUGUUUGGACCUUUGAAAAAUGAAUACGAAUUAAAACCGUUAGAUUGGUAUGUUAUUUCAUUUCUCAUAACGGGCCUUCUGGAGUAACUUAGGAAUUAAGUUUUAGGUGCCUGCCGUAGAUGUUGUGAAUUACAGAGUUGUGCUCGAGAAAUUGUGUACGUAAAAAAUACAUUGGGUUGUAUCUUAACUUUUGCUUUUUUUAUAACUUAGUCAACGCGAUACAGUAGAAAAUUGAACAAUUAUCGACACUUAUCAAUACACGUUAAAAUACUAGGACGCACCAGCUGAACCGAGCGCCCCUACCGAGAGCUCCUGCUCGAUCGGCCUUCAUGCACACUUCAUUCAGUGGUCGGCACACCUGUCCACACCAGGAUCGGUAUGGGUUCAGUAUCGGUUCCA